rnacentral:rRNA from 1 species
UGACAAGAAAUAACAAUACAGGACUUUUUGGUUUUGUAAUUGGAAUGAGUUAAGUAUAAACCCCUUUACAAGUAUCAAUUGGAGGGCAAGUCUGGUGCCAGCAGCCGCGGUAAUUCCAGCUCCAAUAGCGUAUAUUAAAGUUGUUGCAGUUAAAAAGCUCGUAGUUGGAUUUCUGUUAAUAAUUUAUAUAAAAUAUUUUGAUGAAUAUUUAUAUAAUAUUAACAUAAUUCAUAUUACUAUUUUUUUUUUUAGUAUAUGAAAUUUUACUUUGAGAAAAUUAGAGUGCUUAAAGCAGGCAUAUGCCUUGAAUACUCCAGCAUGGAAUAAUAUUAAAGAUUUUUAUCUUUUUUAUUGGUUCUAAGAUAAGAAUAAUGAUUAAUAGGGACAGUUGGGGGCAUUUGUAUUUAACAGUCAGAGGUGAAAUUCUUAGAUUUGUUAAAGACAAACUAAUG